rnacentral:rRNA from 1 species
AGUGAACGCUGGCGGUAGGCCUAACACAUGCAAGUCGAACGGCAGCACAGUAAGAGCUUGCUCUUACGGGUGGCGAGUGGCGGACGGGUGAGGAAUACAUCGGAAUCUACUUUUUCGUGGGGGAUAACGUAGGGAAACUUACGCUAAUACCGCAUACGACCUACGGGUGAAAGCAGGGGAUCUUCGGACCUUGCGCGAUUGAAUGAGCCGAUGUCGGAUUAGCUAGUUGGCGGGGUAAAGGCCCACCAAGGCGACGAUCCGUAGCUGGUCUGAGAGGAUGAUCAGCCACACUGGAGCUGAGACACGGUCCAGACUCCUACGGGAGGCAGCAGUGGGGAAUAUUGGACAAUGGGCGCAAGCCUGAUCCAGCCAUACCGCGUGGGUGAAGAAGGCCUUCGGGUUGUAAAGCCCUUUUGUUGGGAAAGAAAAGCAGCAGGUUAAUACCCCGCUGUUCUGACGGUACCCAAAGAAUAAGCACCGGCUAACUUCG